UGAAUAUAGUUUAACAAAUUCUAACCCGUGAAGCUAGAGAUGAAGAUUAAUUUUCUUCUAUUCACC
rnacentral:tRNA from 1 species